AUUCGGAUUGAUAACUAGGCGGCCGGUCUCAAUCACCUACGACGUCUGCCUUUUAAGUAUCCGAUAGAUUGACCUCUUGGCGAAGAUCUUACAUGUUUCCAAGCGCUUGCUUAUGCUUCCAGUAUUUGGCGACUUUUAAAUUUUCGCGACAUAC
rnacentral:snoRNA from 1 species